AAGAAAAGAGAUUUGACGCUAAUAAACAAACAUUUCAUUAUAAAAUUAAUGUCUCUUAAUGUGUGUGUAUACGUGUGUAUGUGUGUGUGUGUGUGUGUGUGUGUGUGUGUGUGUGUGUGUAUGUAUAUUUGUAUGUAUAUGUGUGUGUGUGUGUGUGUGUGUGUGUGUGUGUGUGGUGUGUGUGUGUGUGUGUUACAUGUGCAGGUUUUUCCCCUGUUUACUUUUUUUUACAUUUGUUACGGUAAGACAAUCUGGAUCACUGGUUUCAGUCUCAAAUCCACCCACAGACAAAUGUUUUAGUAGUCUGUGGCCUCAUGCACUGAAUGUGCACAUGCACAUGUGUGUGUUGUGUGUGUGUGUGUGUGUGUGUAUAUGUGUGCGUGUGUGUGUGUGUGUGUGUGAGCGUGUGAAAGAGGAAUGUUUGUCGCCAUCCCACUUCCAGUCUCUACGCCACAAUCACACACACACAGACAGGAAGUCACAGUCCAGCUGUCCCAUAAACGGUAAACAUUAGAUGAUGUCUCCUACACACACAGACACACACAGACACACACAGACACACACAGACACACACAGACACACACAGACACACACACACACACAGACACACACAGACACACACAGACACACACACACCCCAUAAUGACGGGUUUUCUCAUCACACACAGGCACUUUCCACAAAGCAGCAUAAGUUCGAGUGGGAAAUGAGACAGCACUCCAGGGUCAUGUUCCCCUCCUAAAACUUUUAAAGCACACUGGAAAAAAUAAUCAGAUCUGAUUCAGUAUUUCCACUGAACCGGUCCCGAACUGCGUGACCCGUCACCUGUUCCGUCUCCCGUCCCCUGUCCUGUCAGGUCUACUGACAAACAAUCAGAAACGCACUUCACUUCCUGUUUCAGUUCUUUAAGUGAACAAUUUAAUUUGAAUCCACCUAAUCUCCCCUUUUUUAGGUUUUUGUUGUUUUUUUCUGGCGAGGUCACGCAGACAUGCAGCGCAGACGUGAGUCUACGUCUACACACAGGAUACAAAUACAAAUUGUGUGAAGAUCCCUGGCUAAUUUUAAAAAGAGCUGAGAGAAAACAAAAAAAAAAAAAAACCAAUGGGAAAGAAACGAAAGCGAUAGCAGCAUUAGCCGUUGUACGCUAGCGAUACGGAGCUAUUUCAAACCGACUGAUAUGAAUGGAGGAGAACCCAGCGCUGUGGCUAACGCUAAUGAAGCGCUGACCGAUGCCAAGGGUUCUUUCGAGACCGCUCCCGGUGCGAACACCACCAGCGCUAACGCUGCGUCUGGGGGUGAAGCCGAGUUCGAUGACGCUAGCUAGCUCGUCAUGACCAGCUUCCGACGCUCGUUCUCUUGGCGAAUAAUUAAUACAGUCAGAAUUUCAUAAGACCUCUUACGUCUCCGAAAGAACCCCUUGAAGAACCCUUGCUUCUAAGAGCGUAUGUAUUAAUUGUGACCACAUAAUUGCCUGCGGUCUCCUCAACACCUAGAACCUGUCAGGAGUUUCACUUCCAGCUUCUGGAGGGGUUAGAUCCGGGUCAUCAAGGGUUCUACUGGGAACCCUUUCUGAUAGGGGAGCACUCUGGGCAUGCGUAGAGGGUUUAACGGUUCUGUGUUUUGGACGCAUGACGUAGCUUUGCCGUGGAUUUGUCGGUGUUACCUGCGACUACAACUUCGUGUUUGGAACUGGGUUCUUUCACGCAGACGCUGGCAAUCCCACGGUUCCGCAGAGUACACUUAGCCCCCGCGGUGUGGCCUGGAGAUUUUAUACAAGUGUGCGCAUUUCAGAAUGCUUGUGUGAGGAGGUUUUUCUCCACAUGAUUUGUUUUGCAAAUGUCGAGCCGAAAAAAUCCAAAGAGGAAUUUGAGUUUCAUUUGAGUUUCCACUGGAGGUGAUGGAAGAAGUUCCUCAUAUGCUGUGGGACCACUGAUGAACCGUGUGACGAGGAAAACACACGCACGCACGCACGUGUGUGUGUGUGUGUGGUGUGUGUGUGUGUGUGUGUGUGUGUGUGUGUGUGUGUGUGUGUGUGUGUGUGUGUGUUCUGGAGGACGCUGCUUCUGUUAACUUUUACGCUCCUACAGCACCUUUUCCAAAAUGCAGAUUUGAGUCAAGCUGAACACACACACACACACACGCACACACGCACACACGCAACCACGCAC
ensembl:lncRNA